rnacentral:pre_miRNA from 1 species
AUCCUACUCCCUCCAUCCAACAAAAGAUGUCUCAAAAAAUUUGGAUGUAUCUAUACAUGACUUAGUGUAUAGAUGUAUUCAAAUUUAGUCAAACUUAAGACAUCCUUUGUUGGACAGAGGGGGUAGUAU